rnacentral:rRNA from 1 species
CUGCUCAAUGAUUUUUUAAAUUGCUGUGGUAUUUUGACUAUACAAAGGUAUUGUAAUAAGAUUUUAAUUGAAUGCUAAGAGAAUGGAAUUACAGGGAAUAACUAUUUAAAACUUAAAAAUUAAAAUUAUUUUAAUUUGUGAAGAAACAAUUAUUAAAAUUAAGGACAAGAAGACCCUAAGAAUUUUAAAAUAAUUAAUUUCUUAUAAGAAAUUAAUUAUUUUUAGUUGGGGCAACUAGAAAAUAUUAUAAACUUUUUAUAUAAUAAAAUGACCUAUUAUUAAUGAUUAUUUGAGAAAAAUACUCUAGGGAUAACAGCGUAAUAAUUUUUGAUAGAACCUAUAGACAAAAUAGUUUGCGACCUCGAUGUUGGAUUAGGAUACUUUUUUAAUGAAGAUGUUAAAAAAAGAAGUUUGUUCAACUUUUAAAGUCCUACUUGAUCUGAGUUCAGACCGG